UGAGGAACAUGACCUUCGGCGGGGGAGUAGCCGGCCCAACGGCCGGGUAAUACCGCGUACGACCACAUGGGGACAUCCCUGAGUGGUGAAAGCAGCAAUGCGCCGAUGGAGUGCCUCGCGGCCUAUCAGCUAGUUGGUUGGGGUAAUGGCCCACCAAGGCGACGACGGGUAGCCGGCCUGAGAGGGUGACCGGCCACACUGGGACUGAGACACGGCCCAGACUCCGUACGGGAGGCAGCAGG
rnacentral:rRNA from 1 species